rnacentral:rRNA from 1 species
AUUGAACGCUGGCGGCAGGCCUAACACAUGCAAGUCGAACGAGUGGCGGACGGGUGAGUAAUGUCUGGGAAACUGCCUGAUGGAGGGGGAUAACUACUGGAAACGGUAGCUAAUACCGCAUACCAUCAGAUGUGCCCAGAUGGGAUUAGCUUGUUGGUGGGGUAACGGCUCACCAAGGCGACGAUCCCUAGCUGGUCUGAGAGGAUGACCAGCCACACUGGGACUGAGACAAGGUCCAGAAUCCUACGGGAGGCAGCCGGGGGGAAUAUUGCAAAAUGGGGGCAAGCCUGAUGCAGCCAUGCCGGUUGUUUGAAGAAGGCCUUCGGGUUGUAAAAUGCUUUCAGCGGGGGGGCGUUACCCGGAAAAAGAGCACCGGCUAACUCCGUGCCAGCAACCGCGGUAAUAC